rnacentral:rRNA from 1 species
UACGUAGGGUGCAGGCGUUAAUCGGAACUACUGGGCGUAAAGCGUGCGCAGGCGGUGCUGUAAGACCGAUGUGAAAUCCCCGGGCUUAACCUGGGAACUGCAUUGGUGACUGCAGCGCUGGAGUAUGGCAGAGGGGGGUGGAAUUCCACGUGUAGCAGUGAAAUGCGUAGAGAUGUGGAGGAACACCGAUGGCGAAGGCAGCCCCCUGGGCCAAUACUGACGCUCAUGCACGAAAGCGUGGGGAGCAAACAGG